UUACGCGAAAACUUACCAGCUCUUGACAUGUCCAGUAUGGGGCCGAGAGAUCGACUCCUUCAGUUCGGCUGGCUGGAACACAGGUGCUGCAUGGCUGUCGUCAGCUCGUGUCGUGAGAUGUUGGGUUAAGUCCCGCAACGAGCGCAACCCUCAUCUUCAGUUGCCAUCAGGUAAAGCUGAGCACUCUGGAGAAACUGCCGGUGACAAGCCGGAGGAAGGCGGGGAUGACGUCAAGUCCUCAUGGCCUUUAUGGGCUGGGCUACACACGUGCUACAAUGGCGGUGACAGAGGGACGCGAAGGGGCAACCCUUGGCCAAUCUCAAAAAGCCGUCUCAGUUCGGAUUGUUCUCUGCAACUCGAGAGCAUGAAGCUGGAAUCGCUAGUAAUCGCGGAUCAGCACGCCGCGGUGAAUACGUUCCCGGGUCUUGUACACACCG
rnacentral:rRNA from 1 species